CACUCCAAGCUGAAAACAAAGAAUAAAGUAUAGGUGGAAUCCAAGCCAGCCUGGGCCCCAGACCCUCAGCUGCACCGCCGUCCUGUGGCAGCUGUCCAACUGUGUCUCGUGGUGGGUGACUGCUCAGCCUCGUGCCUCCAAAUGGCUCUAAGCAAGCCGCUCCACAGGCAGCCAGAGUCACUGCUUUGUGAGGCCUCGACUGCUAUAGCAUCUGGCCCUGUGGCUGCCACCAUUCCCUCUGGCACCGCCAGUGCCUGCUCUGUGUUGGCCCUUGUUGGGGUGAGAAUAGGUUGGGGAAGUGGAGAGAAAGGAUCCUGAGGGUUUCUUUGGACCCGAGGAGGAACCUGAUCUUGACAUCAUGUCUGUCUUGCAGAAGAUGGAGUGACUGGUUGACAGUCAGCUCCCCCAGCACGGAGGAUGGUGCUCCCACAUGCAGUAGACGGAAACUGGCCUGGAUUGGAACAAGAGAUAUUGCUGCUGCUGUCGAGAACCAAGCCACUCUUCCAAGGUGAAGUGUUCUGGACAAAAUUGCAGCUGAAGAUGAUCUAGCAUCUAAAGUCAGAGGAAGGGUUGAACGUGACUCCAGCUCCACCCCCAGUCUGACGUCAGCCACGUGAGAGACUUCAAGUGAGAGCUGCCCAGCUGGGCAGGCUCAAAUCCCAGGACCCAGAGAGAGAAAAAUAAUAUAUGCCACCGAGUUUGGGGUGGCUUGACCCUCAGCAAUAGAGCAUCUGGCCAUUAAAAAAAAACCCAAAACCUGUGGCUAUGAAUUCCCGACCCGUCAUCUCUCAGACCCCAAGUCCGUGGCAGGUGAAGGCUCUCUGGAGGUGCUGCAGGAAGUCAGUGGUGUUUCCUAGCAACGGCGACCAAGAUAAUUUAGUAAAGAAUUGGCACAAAACAUCCCACAAAGUAGUCAAGUACUUUUAACACAGAAGUAGGACAUUCAUCUAUGGUCCUGUAAUUUGAAAGUUGAAG